rnacentral:lncRNA from 1 species
GCCUGUGUUGGUGGCUUGCUCUUCAGCAGCUCCCCUGACCAGGUUCUCCUUAUCUCUCUGCACAGACCAUCAGUGCUCUGCAGUGUAAAGAAUGUUUUCUUCCCCCUGUGUCCAGCGAGAUUCCUGACUCUCAUCACUCAUGGCAGCCCUCAGCAGUGUCCCUGAAGGGUUUGCAGAUCACCAGGGGAGCAAACCCCAGGAUCUGCUGCUCCACCACGAAGGGGGAUGGAUGAAAUGUGACCCAGCUGCUCCUGGAGCAUCUCCCACUGGUGCACAAGAGUCACCAGAUGGAAUUGAAUCAUUGUCUAGGAUUUAGGAGUGAUAUAUGCAAUCCUAAACCACUCCAGAUUGUUACAGGCGUGACUGUCCUGAUCCUGGUGAAGCAAACAGAAGAGCUUGGAAGAGCCAAUGUAUUUUAUAGCACUGGAGUGGAAGUGGAUCUGGUGAAUCUCAUGUGGACAUUUUGCCCACAUGGAUCCUGUGUGUCCCCAUCAUUUUGGAUCACCAUCACUCACAGUGCCAGGUGAGAGACAGGCAGGCACUCAGGAGUCACCUGAAUCUAAAAGAUUUAGCACUUACAGUUCCCCCCUCCCAGUUCUAUAUCCAUCACCCCUUUAUUCUAGACUUGUUUUCUUGCUCUUAAUUGAAAUAGAAUUUCCAUCCCAGCUUCAGAAUCCUGGCUUAGCAAACACCAAAUACUGAAACACCCUCUACUAAAAAAUAUUCACAGUUUAGCUGGUGAGUUCAAUCACAGACAGGAAACUGAAACAUUGAUCAGAUCCACAAAUGUUCCUUUACAAAGGAACUGUUCCAAUAUUAAAAACAUAAACAGUGAUUUCCUCCUGAAGAGUGUAUUUGUACUAACAGAAUUAAUUUAAUAUUUGCAGUGUUACAUAACCUUUGUUCUUUUGCCUGUGAGCACGCUGUAAAUAUGAG